AUCAUGGGAAAAGCCGUAGAGAUACGGUGUGCCAUUAGCGUCCAUGACAGGUGGUGCAUGGCUGUCGUCAGCUCGUGUCGUGAGAUGUUGGGUUAAGUCCCGCAACGAGCGCAACCCUUGUCCUAUGUUGCCAGCGGUUCGGCCGGGGACUCAUAGGAGACUGCCGGGGACAACUCGGAGGAAGGUGAGGACGACGUCAAGUCAUCAUGCCCCUUAUGUCCAGGGCUGCACGCAUGCUACAAUGGCCGGUACAACGGGCUGCGAUCCCGCGAGGGUGAGCGAAUCCCUUAAAGCCGGCCUCAGUUCGGAUUGGAGUCUGCAACUCGACUCCAUGAAGUCGGAGUCGCUAGUAAUCGCGGAUCAGCAAAGCCGCGGUGAAUGCGUUCUCGGGGAUU
rnacentral:rRNA from 1 species